rnacentral:tmRNA from 1 species
GGGGGUGUUCAGGCAUUCGAUAGAUAAAUGUUUGGAUCCGACUACAGCCGUGAAGGAACACGUAAAAACCAACUUAAAUUAAACGCAAAAACUAAAUUAGCUAAUGUAUUUGGAUUUAACCAAAGCAUGGCUUUCGCUGCUUAAUUCGUCGAAACAGACUUGCAGCCCCUUUUAAGAAUUUCGCUUUCUUAUUCUUAAAUGUGUGUUAUGGCAAAGAAGCUAGGAUAACCUUUUGACCGCAAGGAAGUCUGAAAUAUUCAGGUCGAUUUGAAUGAUUCCCUUCUGUUCAUCCAGGCAUUCAAAUUAUAAGAUGAAAUAAGCUGUAAACGUUGUUUCGUGGGACUUUGUUUAGACAGGAGUUCGAUUCUCCUCACCUCCACCA